AUGCUGAUGACGAGUUCGAAAUAGGACGAAAUGCGCAUCCUGGAU
rnacentral:hammerhead_ribozyme from 1 species